AGUCGGCAUUGUCUUAAAGGUAGACUUUGAUCCCAAACUUGAGUCCUUUUCCAUGGCGACGCUAACUCGAAGGACAGGAUCUCCAGGUCUCUGUGGAUGAUCUCCCUGUCUCUGCUUGAGAGAAAACAGGCUUCACGCUUAGCACAGAGCCCCACGGGAGGCUCGAACUCACGACGCUGACCUCGAGACCUGGGCUGAGAUCAGGAGUUGGAGGCUGAACCAACUGAGCCGCCCAGGUGCCCCUAAUUUACAUGAUUUCUAAAAAUGGGGCCCAGGGGCCAAAAAUAGGAAGAAAGGAAGGUGAACUUCAUACAGUUGGUUUCCAGUGAAUCACGAUUUUACUGUCAGCUGUGUAUGCUUCCGGAGCGGGGACUCCUUGUGGACCUCUGGCUGUCACAGUUUGGGUGGUGUUUAUGCAUCAGUCUACAAAAUGAGAUUCUGAAAAUCUUUCUCCAUAAAGUGAAUUGUCUUUAUCCCUGACGCUUCUCUUGAGACCUCUUAUUCGGUUAAAGCAACCCACCAAUUUGCCUGAAAGCUGUUUACACCGGGAAAUGUUAAGGGUAAGCCGGCCACACGCUUGUAUGAUAGCCCUUCCUGCCAAGUGCCCAGCCCAUGUUGGGAGGGCUUGCAUUGUCUGUUAGCAAGAGAACCUGUCUCUGGAAAUGGUAGCUUUCUCUCGAUCGGCAUGAAAGGCCUGCUUGGCUCUUUUCAAGUUGCUCAAAUUCCUAGUAGGGCUCUGGUCCUGAUUUCUUCCACCUGCUUUUCAAAAUUGCAGGUGACUUCUCUCCCGGGUGCCUUGGUUGGUUACGUCUGCUGUAGGACGUCCAUCGUGCCUGAAUCAAGCUUCUUCACUCUGCUUCCCGGGGCCAUUUCCCUGCAACUUGCUUGCAUGCUAAUUUCCAGUGGAACACUUUUUUUUUUUUAAAUGCGUGUGACUCAGGACUCAGGCUCAGUGCAGCACUUAGGUGUGCGUGAGGGAAUGCUAAAACGUUCUGGCCAGAAGAGAACAGCAUGGCCACGAAGAAGCUGAGAUCAUAUGCUGGGCUCAGAUCAUGGUGUGUGU